rnacentral:RNase_P_RNA from 1 species
GAGCUGGCCAGGCAGUCGCUGGCGCACGGGUUUCGACACGGCGCGAGAGGAAAGUCCGGGCUCCGCAGGGCAAGGUGCCAGGUAACACCUGGGGGGUGUGAGCUCACGGAAAGUGCAGCAGAAAGCAAACCGCCCAAGGCGCCGAACGCGCGUUAGUGCGCGACCGGUGAACAGGUAAGGGUGAAAAGGUGCGGUAAGAGCGCACCGCGCAGGUGGCAACACACUGCGGCUAGGUAAACCCCACCCGGAGCAAGACCAAAUAGGAAUCCAACGGUGUGGCCCGCACCGGAUUCGGGUAGGUCGCUGGAGGUUUUCGGUGACGAAGACCCUAGAUGAAUGACUGCUACACCGGCAUUGCUGGUGACAGAACCCGGCUUAUCGGCCAGCUCUU